UAGUGUCCAGUUUUACCAUUUUUGUGGGUAGACUGCAAUAACGGCAACGGGAAGCUACCAUAUGUUGCCAGUAUUACAUUGUGGGAAUAAUCAGAUUCACAACGUGUCAAACAUCCUUUAUGAAGCAUAGAAACCGUUAAGUUUAGUAAAAUUUACUGCUUCUGGACAAAGCGGACUAGUUCGGCCGAGGACCCCAGGCUCAUAACGUCAAAGCGAUGAUAUAUUACAAUUUGCUCAAAGGGGACCCUUUUUUGUUCUCGCCGGUAAUGGUUUAGUUUAAUCGACACCGGUGAGAGACAGAGAUAUAGUUUUUUGUAGGUUAGAACGGGACAAAAGACGAGCGUUUCAUUCCCGCCGAAGAGGAAAGUGAGUCAAGCUGAGCUGCGUAUGGAUGACUAUCAACAGUUUGCUUUAGGAUUUUGUUAGUGACGUUUGUGAAUGUCAGCAAGCGAUAUUUUGGCUAUAUUGUGAGCUAUAAACGUAAAAACUUUGUGGAAACGACAACGAGAUGUUAUGAAGAAGCAGUAUUUGGGGUGAUGACGAAAAUUCGCAGGCCGAGGUAGAAAAAAAAACAUUAUAAUGUCAGAGCGCCGAGUCCUGGUAUACAUGUGACGCCCGAAGCGAAAAUGGCACGGUCUAAAAUGGCGGGUGAAAGAUCAAUAUGACCUACCGAAAGACUGUUGCUGAUUGGCUGGAAGGCAGAUUGGGCGUUGGAGGAAAAAUCAAUGGAACUUGAGCUGAAAUAAAGAUGCUGCCGAAUCGCCUUUUUGCCAAGACCGGUUUGAUCGCGGGCGGAGUGGCGAGUGGCGGUCUUCUGUGUCAGGACCGGUGCGAGGGGAAAACAUGCUGAUAUGAGGAAAACCGAAGGGCAAACAAUACUAGUUUCAGAACGUAUUCCAUCGGCAUCCAGGGACAUCGACAACAGCUGCAGUCGAAAACUUCGGACGAAACUUUACUAUGAAAACUCGAAACAACAACGGAACUUCACUCACUUCAAAAUGGGAACUCGAAAAUUGAAGAUUAUUAUGGCACAUUCGUGAUCUACCCUGUAGAUCCGGGCUUUUGUAGUUUAGUUCACAUCAGAAGCUCGUCUCUACAGGUAUCUCACGGCUGGAAGACCUCGCUACUAACGGUUCUCGCUUCGAAGACUGAAGAGUUUCGGAAGAAAGAAAUAAUCAAGAUUAUUGAAAGAUUUUUGAAUGAUUGUAUUUGUGUGUAUUUCUUUUUGGGAUAGGAGGCAAUGCAUGAAAUACAUGUAGAGCAUAAAUUGUGCCCUCAUUUAAACAAUUUUGACGAGCAACAUUUUUUUUUUAUUGGUUAUUACAAAUACACGACGAUGUUAGAUUUUAUAAUUUUUUAAAAUGUUUUCUGUGUAUUGUCUCCAUAAAUAUUUAAUGUUCUUUUGUCAAUUCUUAACAGACUUGGAGAAGCCAAAGAUAUUAAGAUUAUUUGCAAUAGCUUUAGAGGAUUUUUUUUGAAUUUUCGAGUGCCGUUACGUUUUCACUAUCUUCGGACCCUUAUCCUCACACUCGGGACAGUUACUACUAUACCUUCAAACAUUGUAGGUUUACAUAAAACCAAAACAUACAUUAUUCCACAUCAUGCGUUAUAACAGUCAAUACAAUAUCCCUACUUAUACCUCUUAAAGUUACAAUGUACUUCCCAUUCAGCAUCCUUAAGCUUUAUUGUUCUAACUAACCAUUGUCGCGACACUUUAUUGCAGUAAAUAUGAAUUAUAGAUGCAUCUGUCGUAUUUCGUAUUCACAUUUAUUCAGACAGUUCUAUAAUAAAGUGUCGCUUUAUGACUAUUUGUGAUUUACUCUCUGAAAUAGUUGGAAUUUUUUAUGAAUAUUUUUCUGAAGUGAAUUUAUUGUUGAUCGUGAUCGGGAUUUGGGUUUGCAUAUUGGGAUUGUAUAAAUUAAACGAUCAAAUGAAAUGGAUUGUGUUGCUCACUUAAAUCUGAAUGGAACAGCUAUAAAGUAUUUUAGUAUGGAUUGAUUAUUAAACAUUUUUUGAUAUUUUAAAUGCAGUAUGUGACUAAGCUUUCAUUCAACUUUGAUAAGGAAUACUUUCAUAAAAGUAAAGACAUGUAUUUUAUCUUCUUGUAUUCGUAAUGCUAAGAUCUCUUUUCCGCACUUAGGCUCUAUAUGCUCGUUCAUUAUGUGCAGGGUUACCUCUGUGACAUAUUAAAUAUCUUUGAUUUUCUAAUUAUUCAUUUAAGUAUUUUUAUGUUGUUGUUGUUUUGCUGUUCCAGAUAAACCAUAGAGAGAUCCGGAAAUAAAUGCAAAUUGUUAAUUAAUUGUAAUAAAU